ACUUCUUUGGCAGAUAAGUGCGCUAGGCUUAGAACCUAUAAAUGUAAGGUGUUUUACAGGUAGUA
rnacentral:tRNA from 1 species